AGCUGCUGGCCGGCCCCCGCCUCCGGCCACGGCGGCGGCGGCGGCGGGUGAAGCUGUCCGACGUCAGGAGGGAGAUCUACGACCGCAUGCGGGCCGUCGGCAACCAGGAGGCGCUCGCCGACCCCUUCUUCGACCGCGUGCUCGAGGACCACUACUAACGCCUCCCGCCAAGCUACUACAUCGACCUCGACGUGAGCAUGGAAGCCAGGGAUCCCCCACAAUUACCAUUUUGAUUUGGAGCCAAAGGUUUGUCCUGCUGAAGGAAUCGGGCGUGGAAGACGGGGCGGUUGUCGGGGUCGACGCACUCGGCGAGGAUCCGGCGGUGGAGCAGCACGUCCUCCGCCUUGUUCACCGGCGUUCCUGCAUGGCAUAGUUCUCAACGGCGAAUUUAAAGGAUUGGAUGAGCGGCUGAUGGAAGACCUCAGCUUGGGGCGAAGAAAAGGCAUAGACGACUUCGAGGCCAUUUCUGCCAGGCACUGCCUCUGGAUCCUGGGCAAUGCAAUGACGCCGAGGGGCAGCGGCUUGAUCUGGGGAGAGCUGGUCCAGGACGCCAUGGAGCGUCGGUGCUUAUUCGACUAUGUGUGGCACGAGUGCUUCAGCUUUUGACACGCAGCUGGUGGGGUGUGAAGCAUGAUCUUUUUUCUCUCGUUGCAACGCACGAGCCCUUUUGCUAGUAUAUAUAUAUACACACUAAAUCAGCAAGCUUUUCACUUUUCUAUUUUUUUUUUUACUUUUUUUGUCUUAUACUGUUCAAUUACGUGGGCAGCUGUGAAUAGUAGUAGUUUAAAAAAAAAUUCCCUUUA